AUUGUUGUUUGCCAACCGCCACAAAGCUCAAGAAGGAAACCUUUUUUCUCCUCGACUAAGGCAUGUAACACAUGAAGGGUAGGAUCACGAGAUUUAAGGCGCUAUUUUCCAGUAAUUUUAAAUUGAACAUACGUUAAUCUAAUGGACAGUGAAGGCGUGAGGACUGACCCCCAGCUGCAGCAGUUCAUUGAAACUGAGUCUCAAAAGCAAAGAUUUCAGCAGCUGGUUCACCAAAUGACGGAAGUCUGUUGGGAAAAGUGCACGGAAAAGCCUGGUCCCAAGCUUGACUCAAGGACAGAAGUGUGUUUUAUAAAUUGUGUCGAACGUUUCAUUGACACAAGCCAGUUUAUCCUCAACAGACUUGAACAAACUCAGAAGACAAGAGACUCCUUCUCAGAGACUAUAACUGACUAGCUGGAACCUAAAAUCUCAACAGAAAAAAGUCAUCUGUUCCCCUUACUCACAUAUACAGCAUAACAUCUGUGAAUUCAUGAUGCCAUCAAUGAAAUGCAGCUCCUCGACACCAGCAGCACUCAUGCAGCCCCACAUAAAGACACUGCCACCACCAUGAUUCACUGUAGGCACCAUGCAUUUUUCUUUGUAUU